ensembl:lncRNA
GGAAUAUACUGUUUGUGUUUCUUUCGGUGGUGCUUGAUUAUAGGAUGGAAACAAAGUCAAAAGGUGGAGUUCAAGAUCUUAUCUGUUCUGCUGUCCAGCAUCUUUUGGCCCUAUAGGUGGCCUUGAAAGAGUACAUAAAUAAGACUGAGUUGGUGUGAAGAGCUGCCGUUUUUGUUCUUACCAAUCUUGUGCAUCAGAGGAAACCUGGAAGAACUGUGGAGAUGGAGAGAUUUCUGAGCACGUUCCCUAUACGUUAAAGAACAUAUUUUAGGCUUUUCUUUGGCAUACCCUGGACCCAGAGCAAGGAGGGAGUAGGAAACACCAUCCCAGAGCUGUGUCUGCACUAGGGGGCUGUGCUUGCAUGGCGAUAAGAGGAUUAGAAGUUUAGAGAAAGCUUUGUCCUCGUGUGGUACAUUAGGCACAAUUAUACAAAGUCCGUUUUCUGGCAGCAUCACUCCUGACUGGCACGAGAGCUCCAGGACCAUCAGCUCAUCAGGAAAUCUCCUGUCUGUCCAGAGCACGCAGUGAAUUCCCACCUUUGCACUCAAGGCACAGCAUUAAGUGCUUCCAAAAUUCCCGUGACGGCUCCAUCCUGCAACGUUCUGAACCUCCUCACUGUGCUUCAGCAAUGCGAUCAGGUCCAGAUACGAGCUCAGGACUGGACCUACUGCAACAAGCAGUGUGAACAAUGCUGGGCUCUUACUGCCAUGCUCAGGAAACAGGAGUGUCAUUUCUCCUUGUCUGCUGUGAGCGAGUCCUCAUCGGUUCAAG